AAAACAGUGUAAAAGGACCUUCGGAGGUGUUUUUUUUUUGUAAAAUAACACCUCCAAAGAUCUUUUUACACUGUUUUGGUG